rnacentral:ncRNA from 1 species
AUAAAUAUCAGGCAAACUUAACGAAAGUUAAGGACGCAAAGCUACGGGUCUAAAGUAGAUAUACAAUGAUCGCCGGGUUGCAGGA